rnacentral:rRNA from 1 species
UACGUAGGGUGCAAGCGUUAAUCGGAAUUACUGGGCGUAAAGCGUGCGCAGGCGGUGAUGUAAGACCGUUGUGAAAUCCCCGGGCUCAACCUGGGAACUGCAUCUGUGACUGCAUCGCUGGAGUACGGUAGAGGGGGAUGGAAUUCCGCGUGUAGCAGUGAAAUGCGUAGAUAUGCGGAGGAACACCGAUGGCGAAGGCAAUCCCCUGGACCUGUACUGACGCCCAUGCACGAAAGCGUGGGGAGCAAACAGG